rnacentral:lncRNA from 1 species
CGACCAGGUGCGCCUGUGCCCGGAAUGAGAAGAGAUCCUGGUGUGCCAGGCCCUGAAGUGGCCUGACCAUCUUUGGGUUGGAAAUUGCCUAUUGAUGAGGGCAAGAAGGAAGAAGCCCUGCUCCCUCUGGCACAAUCCCCAUGGGCAUAUUCCCAGAGAGGGGAGCCCCAAGAGGAACAAAGACUUCCCCAAAAUGUAGGGAGACAAAAUUAAAAGAUCUGUAAAAGUGGAAACAUGCAGACACAAAGAUGGAAGAGACAAAGGUAUGGGGAAUCCAAUUAUAACCUAGCUCUCAGAGCAAAGCAAAGCGAAAGUGCCUUAAACUCGCUAACAAAACAAAGGUCAGAGACCUAGAGUUGUUUCAGUUCUGCUCUGCAGGCCCAGGAGAUUCAGAACUGAGAAGAUAGCUAGGCUUAACUUCUUGAUGGUUUGAGAAUGAGGGAGGAGAGUGGAGGCAAAGCUGGGUGACGAAAGAGAGGCAUGGGGGAGGAAUUAUUACCCUAGAAACUAACAACAUAAAACUGUCAGGGUCCCAGCAGCUGCAACUCUAGGCCUAAAUGAGGUGAGCUGUCUUGGAGAACUGAAGUUCUGCCCCUUCCCUUCCUGACUUCAACACCACCUACCUCUUCUCUCUGGAGACUAGGCCUGGGGAUUACAUCUUAGACCGGGGACUGUGGAAGUUCAGCUAUGAAGAACUCUUUGGGGAAUCAUUCCCCCACCCCAAGAUUCCCAACUGGAAAUUAACUACUUGCUUGGGAAGAAAUGCAACCGGGGCAAGCUUCAACACCUGGAAGGCUGAGUUCAAGGAAGCCAACUACCCGGGUCGAAGUGAAGAAACCCCAGCAGACAGAGGUGGGAAUGUUAAAUGCUCCCUCACUCCCCCUCCUGUCACCCCUCACACAAGUCCACUCGCAUCCCGCCAGGCCCGCCGCCCACCUGUCAGCGGAGUAAUGAAUGCUUGCUCGGGGCCCUGGGCCCCCCUGGAGUCGUUCAUCACUGCCAGAACCGCCUACCUCUGCCUUCCGCCCGGAGGGCUUUGCGGCCGGGGCUGCAAGACCCUCUCUCCCCCCACCUCGAUCACUAAUUGUCAGAUUGAGAUGUUGAUUUGUCAGCUGGGAGCUAGCGCCAAAGAAUCUGCAGUAAAACCUGGACUCCUUGAACUUCCUUUAGACUCCACUCAGGUUCGUCCGGACUUGGAGCUUUUCUUAAUUUGAUGUGGAUGGGUUGGAUUUCAUUCAAGAGAUCGGGGAUUAGAAAGCGAAGCAUCAUUCUGUUCCAAUUAGGAG